UUUUUAGAUUUUAGUGGCGAACGGGUGAGUAACACGUAAGCAACCUGCCUUUAAGACGAGAAUAACAAUUGGAAACAGUUGCUAAGGCUGGAUAGGAAAUAAAAAGGCAUCUUUUUAUUUUUAAAAGACCUUCUUCGGAGGGUAUGCUUAAAGAGGGGCUUGCGUCACAUUAGUUAGUUGGUAGGGUAAUGGCCUACCAAGACGAUGAUGUGUAGCUGGACUGAGAGGUUGAACAGCCACAUUGGGACUGAGACACGGCCCAAACUCCUACGGGAGGCAGCAGUAGGGAAUUUUCGGCAAUGGAGGAAACUCUGACCGAGCAACGCCGCGUGAACGACGAAGUACUUCGGUAUGUAAAGUUCUUUUAUUGAAGAAGAAACAAUAGUGGAAAAACUAUCUUGACGUUAUUCAAUGAAUAAGCCCCGGCUAACUAUGUGCCAGCAGCCGCGGUAAUACAUAGGGGGCGAGCGUUAUCCGGAAUUAUUGGGCGUAAAGGGUGCGUAAGCGGUUUAAUUAGUCUCUAGUUUAAUUUCAACGCUCAACGUUGUCCUGCUAGAGAAACUGUUUGACUAGAGUGAGAUAGAGGUAAGCGGAAUUCCAUGUGUAGCGGUAAAAUGUGUAAAUAUAUGGAGGAACACCAGAGGCGUAGGCGGCUUUACUGGGUCUUUACUGACGCUGAUGCACGAAAGCGUGGGGAGCAAACAGGAUUAGAUACCCUGGUAGUCCACGCCGUAAACUAUGAGUACUAAGUGUCGGGGUUAAACUCGGUACUGAAGUUAACACAUUAAGUACUCCGCCUGAGUAGUACGUACGCAAGUAUGAAACUUAAAGGAAUUGACGGGAUCCCGCACAAGCGGUGGAUCAUGUUGUUUAAUUCGAAGAUACACGAAAAACCUUACCAGGUCUUGACAUACUCUGCAAAACUAUAGAAAUAUAGUGGAGGUUAUCAGGGAUACAGGUGGUGCAUGGUUGUCGUCAGCUCGUGUCGUGAGAUGUUAGGUUAAGUUCUAAAACGAGCGCAACCCCUGUCGUUAAUUGCCAGCACGUUAUGGUGGGGACUUUAGCGAGACUGCCAAUGAAAAAUUGGAGGAAGGUGGGGAUUACGUCAAAUCAUCAUGCCCCUUAUGAUCUGGGCUACAAACGUGAUACAAUGGCUAUUACAAAGAGUAGCUUAAACGCGAGUUUUUGGCAAAUCUCAAAAAAAUAGUCUUAGUUCGGAUUGAAGUCUGCAACUCGACUUCAUGAAGUUGGAAUCGCUAGUAAUCGCGAAUCAGCAUGUCGCGGUGAAUACGUUCUCGGGGUUUGUACACACCGCCCGUCAAACCACGAAA
rnacentral:rRNA from 1 species